rnacentral:rRNA from 1 species
UACGGGGGGGGGCAAGCGUUGUUCGGAAUUACUGGGCGUAAAGGGCUCGUAGGCGGCCAACUAAGUCAGACGUGAAAUCCCCAGGCUCAACCUGGGAACUGCGUCUGAUACUGGAUGGCUUGAAUCCGGGGAGAGGGAUGCAGAAUUCCAGGUGUAGCGGUGAAAUGCGUAGAUAUCUGGAGGAAUACCGGUGGCGAAGGCGGCAUCCUGGACCGGCAUUGACGCUGAGGAGCGAAAAGCUAGGGGAGCAAACGGG